UACAGAGGGUGCAAGCGUUGCUCGGAAUUACUGGGCGUAAAGAGCUCGUAGGUGGCUUGUCGCGUUGUUCGUGAAAACUCACAGCUUAACUGUGGGCGUGCGGGCGAUACGGGCAGGCUGGAGUACUGCAGGGGAGACUGGAAUUCCUGGUGUAGCGGUGGAAUGCGCAGAUAUCAGGAGGAACACCAGUGGCGAAGGCGGGUCUCUGGGCAGUAACUGACGCUGAGGAGCGAAAGCGUGGGGAGCGAACAGG
rnacentral:rRNA from 1 species